UACAGAGGUCUCAAGCGUUGUUCGGAUUCAUUGGGCGUAAAGGGUGCGUAGGCGGUGUGGUAAGUCGGGUGUGAAAUCUCGGAGCUUAACUCCGAAACUGCAUUCGAUACUGCCGUACUUGAGGACUGGAGAGGAGACUGGAAUUUACGGUGUAGCGGUGAAAUGCGUAGAUAUCGUAAGGAAGACCUGUGGCGAAAGCGGCUCACUGGACCACAACUGACGCUGAUGCACGAAAGCUAGGGGAGCAAACAGG
rnacentral:rRNA from 1 species